rnacentral:rRNA from 1 species
GCUGACGGCCAGACCGGACUGAGUGCACCCAAUGCCAUUUGUUCUUGGAAGCUAAGCGGGCCCAGCUUGUACCUGGAUGGGAGACCGCUUGGGACUCCCGAGUGCCAUUGGCU